GCUGAUAUCUUAUAAGCUUCCAUACUCUCACUAGAUUUUGUGCUGACUGCGGUGAGAAUCCAGUCUCUUCCCAAAGAUAUUUGAAAUUAAAGAAGGCUUAUCUCCAGCUCCCUCCACAAGCAUCUAUAGACAACCUAUGUCUCAGUUUCCAAGCAAGGAAGAGUCUCCUCUACAGGAUGAACCUUGAUGAGUCAGUAGAGAAUGCAGUCUGCAGAUGGUGCUGUCUACAGAUACAGUCACGGAAGGACCAAGCCUGAGAACUCUUACCCACAUCAUG